UGGUAAUGUAACAUAUUGUAUGCCAACCGCCGUUAAACCCCACUGAAGAAGAAGAAGAACGACGACUCACUGUUGUGCUGUCAAUAUGCUCACCUUUGUAUCCGUUUCAAAUACAUCACUACAGGACGACUCCGAUCAAGUCUGAGGCCGGUAACAUCAACAGUGAGGACAAACCCAGCCUUCCUCUCUCCUUCCACACUGAGUCCAAACCUACAGUCACUGGGUCCUGAUUGUGACAGUGGAGCCCAGUUUGCACUGCAGGAUCCAGAGAUGGCAUCAGUGAAGCUGGAAGACUGCAGUCAAACACUGGAGCUGAAUGUCAACAUUAAAGAUGAAGAAGAGGAGGAGGAGAUUGGGACAACUGUAUGUGAUGAAAACAGCUUCAUUUCCAUCCGAUGACAACAGAACUGCAACACUCAUUGACUAGCAGCCACACAAGCAAAUGAGCUUACAAUUUUUUUAUUUAUUUUUUAUUUCACCUUUAUUUAACCAGGUAG